AUGAUGAUGUCACUGGUUCUACUGCUGGCCACCCUGGGUCUCCUUGUUCAGGGUUCUUCAGGACAAAUCAUUCUGACUCAGUCUCCUGGAUCUCAGUCUGUUGUUCCAGGACAGACUGUCUCUAUCAGAUGUAAAACCAGUACAAGUGUUGGUAGCAACCUCCACUGGUACCUUCAGAAAUCUGGAGAAGCUCCUAAACUCCUGAUUUAUUCAACUUCAACCCGUCAGUCUGGAGUUUCAGAUCGUUUUACUGGAAGUGGUUCUGGGACUGACUUCACUCUGACCAUCAGAGGAGUCAAGGCUAAAGAUUCAGGAGUUUACUACUGUCAGCAGGGUUACAGCUUACCGUUCACACAGCGAUACAACGUCGUACAAAAACCUCCCUCAGCUGGAGAGGAACUGAUCUGA